rnacentral:rRNA from 1 species
UACAGAGGGUGCGAGCGUUAAUCGGAAUUACUGGGCGUAAAGCGUGCGUAGACGGUUAUUUAAGUCGGAUGUGAAAGCCCCGGGCUCAACCUGGGAACUGCAAUGGAAACUGGCGGGCUUGAGUGUGGCAGAGGGGGGUGGAAUUCCGCGUGUAGCAGUGAAAUGCGUAGAGAUGCGGAGGAACACCGAUGGCGAAGGCAGCCCCCUGGGCCAACACUGACGCUCAGGCACGAAAGCGUGGGGAGCAAACAGG